rnacentral:rRNA from 2 species
UGCUCCUGGAGCGGUACAGACGGGAGCUUGCUCCCUGAUAGUUAGCGGCGGACGGGUGAGUAACACGUGGGUAACCUGCCUGUAAGACUGGGAUAACUCCGGGAAACCGGGGCUAAUACCGGAUGGUUGUUUGAACCGCAGGGUUCAAACAUAAAAGGUGGCUUCGGCUACCACUUACAGAUGGACCCGCGGCGCACUAGCUAGUUGGUGAGGUAACGGCUCACCAAGGCGACGAUGCGUAGCCGACCUGAGAGGGUGAUCGGCCACACUGGGACUGAGACACGGCCCAGACUCCUACGGGAGGCAGCAGUAGGGAAUCUUCCGCAAUGGACGAAAGUCUGACGGAGCAACGCCGCGUGAGUGAUGAAGGUUUUCGGAUCGUAAAGCUCUGUUGUUAGGGAAGAACAAGUACCGUUCGAAUAGGGCGGUACCUUGACGGUACCUAACCAGAAAGCCACGGCUAACUACGUGCCAGCAGCCGCGGUAAUACGUAGGUGGCAAGCGUUGUCCGGAAUUAUUGGGCGUAAAGGGCUCGCAGGCGGUUUCUUAAGUCUGAUGUGAAAGCCCCCGGCUCAACCGGGGAGGGUCAUUGGAAACUGGGGAACUUGAGUGCAGAAGAGGA